GUCCGGAGGAGCGGCGAAGGGCUCCUCUUCCCCAUUGGCUGCGCCCACGGAGCCGCCUUGCGAUUGGCCAUAAGCGCGGGUAGCGGGGGUCGCGAGAGGCGUCAGGAUCCCUGGCGCCGCCUGAGCCAGCGGCUGCUGGGAGGCUGUGUCCGCAAGCCAGCGGGGCGAGGCGGCCGGGCCCUGCGCGUCAGGUCCUGGCCUGGGGCACCGGGGCUGCCAGCGUCGGAGGAGUGGGCUUCCUGGCCAGGCGCCGUGGCUCAAGCCUGUAGUCCCAGCACUUUGGGAGGCCGAGGCGGGCGGAUCACGAGGCCUGAGAACUGGGAGGAAGCUGGAGAAAAGAAUACCCUCUGAAUCUUUGUGUUUGGCUGCCCAGGCUCGCCUUGACACCGAAUGGUUGAAAACAUAUACAGAUACACAAGCACUGGGACUCACUGGAUAAAAGCAAUUGGUGUGAAAUUGAAGUAGAUGGGGUCUUGCUCUUUUGCCCAGGCUGGAGUGCAGUGGUGCCAUCUCGGCUCACUGCAAGCUCUGCCUCCCGGGUUCAUGCCAUUGUCCUGCCUCAGCCUCCCGAGUAGCUGGAACUAUAG